UACGGGGGGGGCAAGCGUUGUUCGGAAUUACUGGGCGUAAAGGGCUCGUAGGCGGCCAACUAAGUCGGAUGUGAAAUCCCCAGGCUCAACCUGGGAACUGCAUCCGAUACUGGAUGGCUUGAAUCCGGGAGAGGUGAGUGGAACUGCGAGUGUAGAGGUGAAAUUCGUAGAUAUUCGCAAGAACACCAGUGGCGAAGGCGGCUCACUGGUCCGGUACUGACGCUGAGGCGCGACAGCGUGGGGAGCAAACGAGG
rnacentral:rRNA from 1 species